UACGGGGGGGGCAAGCGUUGUUCGGAAUUACUGGGCGUAAAGGGUUUGUAGGUGGUCUGUUAAGUCAGACGUGAAAUCCCUCAGCUUAACUGGGGAACUGCGUCUGAGACUGAUGGACUUGAGGGCAGGAGAGGAACGCGGAAUUCCUGGUGUAGCGGUGAAAUGCGCAGAUAUCAGGAGGAAUACCGAUGGCGAAGGCAGGUCUCUGGGCCACUACUGACGCUGAGAAGCGAAAGCAUGGGGAGCGAACAGG
rnacentral:rRNA from 1 species